rnacentral:rRNA from 1 species
AUGCCUUACACAUGCAAGUCGAACGGCAGCACGGACUUCGGUCUGGUGGCGAGUGGCGAACGGGUGAGUAAUAUAUCGGAACAUACCCAGUAGUGGGGGAUAACUAUCCGAAAGGAUAGCUAAUACCGCAUACGAUCUGUGGAUGAAAGCAGGGGAUCUUCGGACCUUGUGCUAUUGGAAUGGCCGAUAUCUGAUUAGCUAGUUGGUAGGGUAAAAGCCUACCAAGGCGACGAUCAGUAGCUGGUCUGAGAGGACGACCAGCCACACUGGAACUGAGACACGGUCCAGACUCCUACGGGAGGCAGCAGUGGGGAAUUUUGGACAAUGGGGGCAACCCUGAUCCAGCAAUGCCGCGUGAGUGAAGAAGGCCCUCGGGUUGUAAAGCUCUUUUGUCAGGGAAGAAACGGAGUUCUCUAAUAUAGGAUUCUAAUGACGGUACCUGAAGAAUAAGCACCGGCUAACUACGUGCCAGCAGCCGCGGUAAUACGUAGGGUGCAAGCGUUAAUCGGAAUUACUGGGCGUAAAGCGUGCGCAGGCGGUUCUGUAAGUCUGAUGUGAAAUCCCCGGGCUCAACCUGGGAACUGCAUUGGAGACUGCAAGGCUAGAGUGUGUCAGAGGGGGGUAGAAUUCCACGUGUAGCAGUGAAAUGCGUAGAGAUGUGGAGGAAUACCGAUGGCGAAGGCAGCCCCCUGGGAUAACACUGACGCUCAUG